AGCAGCCGCCACGGUAAUACGUAGGUCCCGAGCGUUGUCCGGAUUUAUUGGGCGUAAAGCGAGCGCAGGCGGUUAGAUAAGUCUGAAGUUAAAGGCUGUGGCUUAACCAUAGUACCCUUUGGAAACUGUUUAACUUGAGUGCAAGAGGGGAGAGUGGAAUUCCAUGUGUAGCGGUGAAAUGCGUAGAUAUAUGGAGGAACACCGGUGGCGAAAGCGGCUCUCUGGCUUGUAACUGACGCUGAGGCUCGAAAGCGUGGGGAGCAAACAGGAUUAGAUACCCCUGUAGUCCCUGUCUCUUAUACC
rnacentral:rRNA from 1 species